CACCCCUGCUCAGCUCAGAGAGAUAUUCAAGCUCUGGCGGACGGAGUGUCUGUGCGUGAGCAGCGAGACGGCGGCUAAGGCUAGCGUGGAAGAGGUUCAUUGAUGACAGCCAAGGG